AUUGAACGCUGGCGGCAUGCCUUACACAUGCAAGUCGAACGGCAGCACGGGAGCAAUCCUGGUGGCGAGUGGCGAACGGGUGAGUAAUAUAUCGGAACGUGCCCAGUAGUGGGGGAUAACUGCUCGAAAGAGCAGCUAAUACCGCAUACGACCUGAGGGUGAAAGGGGGGGAUCGCAAGACCUCUCGCUAUUGGAGCGGCCGAUAUCAGAUUAGCUAGUUGGUGGGGUAAAGGCCUACCAAGGCAACGAUCUGUAGUUGGUCUGAGAGGACGACCAGCCACCUUAUAACUGAGACACGGCCCAGACUCCUACGGGAGGCAGCAGUGGGGAAUUUUGAACAAUGGGCGCAAGCCUGAGCCAGCAAUGCCGCGUGCAGGAAGAAGGCCUUCGGACUGUAAACUGCUUUUGUCAGGGAAGUAAUCCUCUAGGUUAAUACCCUUGGGGGGAUGACGGUACCUGAAGAAUAAGCACCGGCUAACUACGUGCCAGCCGCCGCGGUAAAAC
rnacentral:rRNA from 1 species